rnacentral:rRNA from 1 species
UACAGAGGGUGCAAGCGUUGUUCGGAAUUACUGGGCGUAAAGCGCGUGUAGGUGGCAUGGUAAGUCUCGUGUGAAAGCCCUGGGCUCAACCCAGGAAGUGCGCGAGAUACUGCCGUGCUGGAGUGAUGGAGAGGAUGGCGGAAUUCCCGGUGUAGAGGUGAAAUUCGUAGAUAUCGGGAGGAACACCUGUGGCGAAGGCGGCCAUCUGGACAUUUACUGACACUGAGACGCGAAAGCGUGGGUAGCAAACAGG